rnacentral:rRNA from 1 species
GACGAACGCUGGCGGCGUGCUUAACACAUGCAAGUCGAACGGUAAGGCCCUUCGGGGUACACGAGUGGCGAACGGGUGAGUAACACGUGGGUGAUCUGCCCUGCACUUCGGGAUAAGCCUGGGAAACUGGGUCUAAUACCGGAUAGGACCACUGCCUGCAUGGGUGGUGGUGGAAAGCUUUUGCGGUGUGGGAUGGGCCCGCGGCCUAUCAGCUUGGUGGUGGGGUGAUGGCCUACCAAGGCGACGACGGGUAGCCGGCCUGAGAGGGUGAACGGCCACACUGGGACGGAGAUCCGGCCCAGCCUCCUACGGGAGGCAGCAGUGGGGAAUAUUGCACAAUGGGCGCAAGCCUGAUGCAGCGACGCCGCGUGAGGGAUGACGGCCUUCGGGUUGUAAACCUCUUUCAGCACCGACGAAGCGCAAGUGACGGUAGGUGCAGAAGAAGGACCGGCCAACUACGUGCCAGCCGCCGCGGUAA